AUUGAACGCUGGCGGCAUGCCUUACACAUGCAAGUCGAACGGCAGCGGGGGAGAAGCUUGCUUUUCCUGCCGGCGAGUGGCGAACGGGUGAGUAAUACAUCGGAACGUGCCCUGUAGUGGGGGAUAACUAGUCGAAAGAUUAGCUAAUACCGCAUACGACCUGAGGGUGAAAGUGGGGGACCGCAAGGCCUCAUGCUAUAGGAGCGGCCGAUGUCUGAUUAGCUAGUUGGUGGGGUAAAGGCCUACCAAGGCGACGAUCAGUAGCUGGUCUGAGAGGACGAUCAGCCACACUGGGACUAAGACACGGCCCAGACUCCUACGGGAGGCAGCAGUGGGGAAUUUUGGACAAUGGGCGAAAGCCUGAUCCAGCAAUGCCGCGUGUGUGAAGAAGGCGUUCGGGUUGUAAAGCACUUUUGUCCGGAAAGAAAUGGCUCUGGUUAAUACCUGGGGUCGAUGACGGUACCGUAAGAAUAAGGACCGGCUAACUACGUGCCAGCCGCCGCCGUAA
rnacentral:rRNA from 1 species